rnacentral:rRNA from 1 species
UACGGAGGGUGCAAGCGUUAUCCGGAUUCACUGGGUUUAAAGGGUGCGUAGGAGGGCAGGGAAGUCAGUGGUGAAAUCUCCGGGCUUAACUCGGAAACUGCCGUUGAUACUCUCUGUCUUGAAUCCCGUGGAGGUGAGCGGAAUAUGUCAUGUAGCGGUGAAAUGCUUAGAUAUGAUAUAGAACACCGAUUGCGAAGGCAGCUCACUAAGCAGGUAUUGACGCUGAGGCACGAAAGCGUGGGGAGUCAAACAGGA